rnacentral:rRNA from 1 species
CGCAAGAUUAAAACUCAAAGGAAUUGACGGGGACCCGCACAAGCAGCGGAGCAUGUGGUUUAAUUCGAAGCAACGCGAAGAACCUUACCUAGCCUUGACAUCUCCUGAAUUACUCUUAAUCGAGGAAGUCCCUUCGGGGACAGGAAGACAGGUGGUGCAUGGUUGUCGUCAGCUCGUGUCGUGAGAUGUUGGGUUAAGUCCCGCAACGAGCGCAACCCUUAUUGUUAGUUGCUACUAUUAAGUUAAGCACUCUAACGAGACUGCCGCGGUUAACGUGGAGGAAGGUGGGGAUGACGUCAAAUCAUCAUGCCCCUUAUGUCUAGGGCUACACACGUGCUACAAUGGCUGGUACAACGAGCAGCAAACCCGCGAGGGGGAGCAAAACUUGAAAGCCAGUCCCAGUUCGGAUUGUAGGCUGAAACUCGCCUACAUGAAGUUGGAGUUGCUAGUAAUCGCGAAUCAGCAUGUCGCGGUGAAUACGUUCCCGGGUCUUGUACACACCGCCCGUCACACCAUGAGAGCCGGUAACACCCGAAGCCCGUGAGGUAACCGUAAGGAGCCAGCGGUCGAAGGUGGGAUUGGUGAUUGGGGUGAAGUCGUAACAAGG